UCACCAAUCGUCAACAUAAAUGUCUUAAAACAUACAUGUAUUCCGUUCUCAGGAGGGCUGGGGUUAUCCAAGGUUCUGAGUAACAUGCUACCAGAGGAAAAAGCGUCUGCUGCUCAGGUCUGGAGACACAAACACUGACACACCCACACCCACCCACACACACCCACUCCCACACACACCCACAUCCACACACACACACACACACCCACACACACCCACAAACACACAUACACACACAGACACACACAAA